AUUGAACGCUGGCGGCAUGCCUAACACAUGCAAGUCGCACGCGAAAGGGGGCAACCCCGAGUAGAGUGGCGGACGGGUGCGUAAUACGUAGGAAUCUACCUGAUAGUGGGGGACAACCCGGCGAAAGCCGGGCUAAUACCGCAUACGACCUAUGGGUGAAAGCCGGGGACCGCAAGGCCUGGCGCUAUUAGAUGAGCCUGCGUCGGAUUAGCUAGUUGGUGAGGUAAAGGCUACCAAGGCGACGAUCCGUAGCUGGUCUGAGAGGACGACCAGCCACACUGGGACUGAGACACGGCCCAGACUCCUACGGGAGGCAGCAGUGGGGAAUAUUGGACAAUGGGGGCAACCCUGAUCCAGCAAUGCCGCGUGUGUGAAGAAGGCCU
rnacentral:rRNA from 1 species